GAUCCUGUCCCUCUCCAGCUGGAAGUAGCUCCUCUCCUCCCGCUCUCUGUCCAGCUCCUCUCGGAGGCGGAUGAUGUGAUCCUCCAGCUGGAAGUUCACACACAGUCGGGUCAGCUGGAGAUCAGAGCUGAGACAGAAGCGUCCAGCGAGGAGGACGGAGAGGAGAAGCAGCAUCUCUGCAGCCGCUGGACUCUGCUGACUGAAACUGUCUCCAUCUAACGGGAAGUCGUGACUAACGAGGCUGUGAAACCAGAAACCAGGAACUCAGUACACUUCAGAACUGAUUCACUUUGAUAGUUUUGAUCAUGAUUAUUUAAUUUUCACCCUCGCUGUGCAGUUGAGCUCGUUAAUGUUUCAGCUCAGCAGCUGCAGUGAAGAUUUUGUGCUUUAAACUGGGUGUAAGUGACGUCUCUUCAGCUGCACAGAGACAUCUGAUGUUUUAAAUCAAAUCUCAGCUGCUUCACUUGUUCAGCAGAAUGCUGCAGCUGUUUCACUGUGAAGCUCCAGAACUGUUCUGUGGACCUCCACACUCCACCUGACUUUAUGAUCAUAUUUUUUGGUUGAACUGUUCCUGUCCUCGGUUUCCUCGGUGCUCUCGCAGCUCUGUGGCUGUAGAUGAAGAGAUCAGGCUGCUUCACACUGUGCAGGUCAGAUUCACUCACUGUGCCUGAAACUGGGACUGUUGGUAAAUUCACUGUAAGUUUAUUUAUUUAUUGGAGCUGUCAAAUCAGUGUGACGGUAGUUGGUGUCAAACACGAGACUACUGGAGGCGUUCAGAUGGUUAAUAUAUGUGGAGUGUCUGUAGUUGAGUCCAGCUGGUUCUGAUGCCGCCCUGCAGUAAGUCUCUCAGCUGGACUGUGACUCAACUGUUAUUUUUAAUUCUGGAUGGCGGUUUGUGUCAAACUUCCUGUGAGAGGAAACAACACGAUGACUUUUAUCAUUGCUCAACUUUAUUCCAGAGAACAUCAUGAUGACACAUCUUCUUCUUUUAACCCGGCUACAAAACACAGCACUUUAAAUAAAAUAUCUUAUUUACAAUCUGCAGCACGUCAGCUGUUUGUGGGCUCAGAUGCUUCUAUGUCGUCUUAUUGUUGGUUGGCUGGCCGAUCUUUGAUAAAUCCCCGAACGACACUGUACCUGAGCCUCGCUUCGCUGGUUUGGCCUGAUGGGGACAAAAAACAGAAA